rnacentral:rRNA from 1 species
AGCGAACGCUGGCGGCAGGCUUAACACAUGCCAGUCGAGCGGGCACUUUCGGGUGUCAGCGGCGGACGGGUGCGUAACGCGUGGGAACGUGCCCUCUGGUUCGGAAUAACUCAGGGAAACUUGAGCUAAUACCGGAUACGCCCUUUUGGGGAAAGGCUUGCUGCCGGAGGAUCGGCCCGCGUCUGAUUAGCUAGUUGGUGAGGUAACGGCUCACCAAGGCGACGAUCAGUAGCUGGUCUGAGAGGAUGAUCAGCCACACUGGAACUGAGACACGGCCCAGACUCCUACGGGAGGCAGCAGUGGGGAAUAUUGGACAAUGGGCGCAAGCCUGAUCCAGCCAUGCCGCGUGAGUGAUGAAGGCCUUAGGGCUGUAAAGCUCUUUUAUCCGGGACGAUAAUGACGGUACCGGAGGAAUAAGCCCCGGCUAACUUCGUG